GAAAACUGAAAAUAUGUAUUGUUGAGAAGCCAAUGUGAUUCUUUCCUCAGUUGGGGUCAAACCACUGCACUGACAUUACAGAAGCUUAAUGCCCAUUCUUCAUAGAAGAAACACAGGUCCUAACAGAUUCCUAUAAGGCACUAUAUCAUCAAGAAACAGUAAAAGUAUUAGUGCUUCCUAGACCAUACAUAAAAACUUGCAUUCUUCUCCAGCUCACCCAAUAAUCUGCCUUAGUUUCUGUCUUAGAGUCUCAGACAAGACAGAGUGUUUCUGCUUAAAAAUACUUCUCACCAUGAUGAAAACUAAUGUUUGUUUAUCCCUACAGGCUUGUUUCAAGAACCAGCAGGUUCACCCUAAAAAUAAAAUCUCUGAAGACAGAACUGCUUGUUUAAGGGCCCAUUUCCUGAAAUGUUUAAGUAACACUCAAUUGAGGUUGAAGCAUUUUCAGAUCCAUCACUCCAAAUAAAAUACUGUGCUCUAUUCUUCUAAGAACUGACAUAAUAAGCACUGCAUUUGAAAAAGUGGGGCUAUUUACCUUUGGAUGUGAGGCUGAACAAAGUUCAGAUCCGCCAAUAUAUCUGCUGCUCAGCUUCAGCUGUAAAUAACAAAAACUAAAAAACUAUGCUACUUCUGUUGUGUGUCAGAUUGGGUUUGUUGGGAUUUCUUUUACUCACGUCACAAAAACUUUACAGACUUUCUUCUUGCUCAAAGUACACAAGUCAGCUCUAUUUACAUAGUGCUACACAGAUUAGCAAUGAAAGCUGUUAUACUGGAUUUGGAGCCUGGUCAGAUUCAGUUAAUCUUAAUUCAGUGUAUAGGAGAUGAAGUUUGAUCCACUCCAGUAUAAAAAUAAAUUUUGAGUGCAAACUCAUCUACUUUGAUAUUCUUAAUUUUUCUAUACCUCCUUCAUUUUAAAAGGUACAUAUUUAAAAAUCACAUUUCUUUUCCAUCCACUUCUAAAAGGUCAGAUGAUCUUAAUGCAAUUAAAUACCACUUUUAGCUUUCCCAGUUGCUUCUUGUAUUUCUCUUCAACCACUCCUGAAUUUAAAUCAUCCCAACACAACACAAGGUCAAUAGCAAUGUCAUCCAGCAGGUUUAGGAAACACAAAAGCCAGUAGGAACAUCUUUUCCUCACCCUGUGUCAGGAAGGGAGAAGUGCAGUUCUUCCUCCAAGCCUCCACCUCAGCCAGGCAGGUGCUCAUGCCCUGUUUCCAGAGGGUUGCUGAGAUGCCCUGUUUGAGUCCCAUGCAGGGGCAAGGACUGCUUGGUAGCAAAGGAGAAAUGAAGGGAACGUGCAUUGGGGAACAUGCAUCGGGUGCAAGCAGCAGAAGGCACCAAGGGUGGGACAAGGACAUGAGCGAAGAGGAAGAUCUGCUCACAGAUGACUUAUGUCAGGCAGAGCACAAAAUUUGCAGGCUGCAGGAAGGACUCUGGGGAUAUAACACUGACUGAGACCAGCAACUGCCUUAGGAAUGAAAUGCUGCCUCUGUUGUCUCUCCCAAAAUAGGUGGUCACACAGAAGCGGAGCUGUCUGCAAGGAACCAGAACUUCAGACAAUGAAAUAAACAAACUACAGUAGAGGACUGUACCCUGAAAAAGCUAACCACUAUUUGGAUUCCCUUUGCUUCUGAGAACAAGACACAGAAAAGUAUCUGCACUUCCAAGUAGCCUCAGAAGAAUGUUCAGGUUCCUUAGCUGACAAUCACAUCAGGCCUACAAUUUCCACUACUAUCAUGAAUGAGUGGUUUGUCUGCUUAAAGCAACAAAGGGAUUGGCAAAAGGAGGAGCUAAACACCAAACACCUUCUAUAAAAUAAAAGAAACACAGCUCAGGAAUAGUUUUUUUGGCAUGUAGUAGUUAUAGAAGCACAGUAAUAAAUUUAAGUUAUCAAGCUUAAUACAGCAGAUAGUUUCAUAUGAAAGAAAUCAUAAAUUCCAUCCUUGGCAGGGAGGAUUGUAACUAGAGAAGUUAAGUAUCCUAAAGGAAAAUCUAUGGCAGAGCAGUAAAUUUUCCAAACCUCCAGUGUCCCAUAAAGAUAUGAACUAUAUACUCUUUUCCAUCUUCUGGGACCAGAUGAAGUGAAGAACAAAGAACACUGUUGCUGACUUUUGAGUUAAUUUUUCAUACUUGGCAGAGAGCUCUUUCUCCUCUCAAUUGACCGGUACAUCAACAGAACUAAUGUAAGACUUUCAGACUUUGUUUUUUGAAAAGACAGAAUGAUGACAAAUUCAUGCAAAUGAGUAUUAAUCUCUCAUAAAAAAUGCAAAUCUCAGAAGGUUAAUACAUUUUUAACAUGCCUUAAAAUAAUCUAGAUAUCACAUAAUUCCUCAAGUUUUGGCAUGACUUGAAUUGAAGACAGGCUAUGAAGUCAUAAACUAUCUUUUAACCAAUGAGAGUGGAAGUUUAUGCCCUUUUAAAUUGCUAACUUUAUCAAGGCAGUUAAGUAAAUAUUUGAGAACACGAAUUUUAAAUCACUUGAUAUUUAGUUAUACUAAUGCAUAUUCAUGUGACAGUGUUCAGUUUUAAAGAAAAGCCUGGGCACUUUUCAUCAUGAAAAAAUGGCAGAACAUCUUCCUUAUCUUUGCCAUAACUUCAAAAACUAUUUGGAUAUUCUUAUCUAUUUAGUUUCUGCUGAAGACACAUAACUUCCUUCUGAUAAAAUCUGCUAAGAAUAAGAAUAAAUUAAAAAGCAAAAAGAAAUAUGCACCAACUUAUUUAAAAUUAUUUCCAAAAGAGCUGUUACUGAAAUCAAACUGUAACACUUGGAUUGCAAAUCAAAGGACAAAAUGAUGGCCGCCAAAUUUUUGCCCCCUUUAAAUUUCAAAAUGCAAUACUAUUUACCUCUAACAGGCGUGUGGAUAAUUUUUUAAAAUCUUUAAUUAAACAGCACUUAUAGCAUUAACCUCUCAAAAGAUCUCUGGUUGGCUCAAGAAAUUGCUGGUUUAAAGGAAGAAUAAAAAGGGCAUUAUACUCAGCAUACGUGGGAUCUGUGUACAUCUAAAUUUUGUUAACAUCUGGGGAAGUUAGAAAAUAAAUUCUUUUGUGUGCUUGUAUGACAGAAGUUUGCUUUUUGCAAUCAUUUGAACAAAUUCAGACAGUAAGUGUUGACAACUUAUCCUAGUACACUGCUAAAGUUAAAACAAUCAGGCAUUUCUGUGUCCAAAGUUGUUCCAUAUGCAAACAUAUUAAAUUGCAAUAACACUUUCAAAACACUAUCACUUUGCACUACGUACACAAGCCAUCCAACACAUGGAGCAAUCACCAGAACAGCUGUGCAAUCAAUAAAAGAAGAAUGUCCUUUAAACACUUACUAACUGUUAAGUUAAGCAAGUUAAAUAUUAAGACUAUGAUAUGCAUGUAAGAAAGGCAAAUCCAGAGAGUCAAAAGCAAGAUUAAAGAGUGAAAAAUACUCCAAAGGAUCAAUUUCUAAAAGCAUAGUGGCUGAGAGAUGGAUACAAUGUGGAAUGAAGGCACGUCUUUUUUUCUUUUUUUUUUUUUUAAAGCACAAUUCUGAAACAACUGUUGCGGAAAGAAGCUUUCAUUUUCCUUUUUUCUUCUGAUUUCAUCAGUGAACAUUGCUUCUUUCAGAGGCCCAGAAAAAGCAUUUGAUUGCUUUAAUUAAAAAAAAAAAUUGUUACUGGUGAAUCAUGUCUGACAAGAUUCUGAAAGGUUCAUACCCACAAACAAGUCAACUUUUCUACCUUAAGGCAGGCCUGAGGGGAGAAGCAAAGCUCUACUUUUCAUUGCAAAGAGCUAUUUCCAAACCAUAUGGCAGACGUGCCACCUGGGAAUAACUCCCUGUGCCCUACAUACCUAAUUAACACGAGCUCUUGCUACAGUGGUAUGCACAGAGAAGAGGAAUGAAUGACCUUGUUAGGUGAAGACACAUAAAAAGAGGAUGAAGCAAGGCUUGGAGAUGAAGAGAAACAGAUGGGACUGUCAGCUGUAGAGCCCUAUAAUGCACGAGCACGGAUAACAUGGGGAAUAUUGCUUGGAUUAGACGAAACAGUUCCAACUGCAGUCACAGGAAGACUUACUGACCUACAUUUGGGAUUGAGCUCUAUAUUUGUGGAUUAUGAUGGCUGCUGUCUUUGAUCAAAUGCUCAGAAAGUUUUCAAGCAUAAGACCAAACUUGGAGGAAAAGAACCUGCUGCAACACACGACUGAGAGCCAGAACACAGAGAAAUGCCCUGAGAAAUCCAAAAUGCAUUUUAUUGGGCCAUUUGUCUAUGAGGACAAGGCUAUCACAUACAUCACACGUUACAGACUUCCUAAGAGGAUGAGAACAAAAGAAAAAAAAUCAUUGAGGACAAGAGGUAAUUUUUAUCCAUUAAUAUUUCCAAGCAAGGAACAGCAAUUCAAGUAUGCUAGAUACUUUUUUUGGAUCCUGGGGAAUAAAGAGAUAGAUUACUAGAUCUAUUAAUUUACAUUCACAAAACAUAUUCCAAUUACAAGUAGUUUCUGACCCUUUCUGGCCCCACAGCCAUUGCAAGAACCUCUUUAAUUACUUGCCUUUUUUGCAGUAAAAUACAAUUAAGCAGCACUAAUUAUUUGACACAAGAUAUUUUAAGUAUGGAAGAGGCUAACCAGUUGCUAUAACAACAUAAUUGAAUGAACUUGACUGGCAGGUACUACAUAGUCUUCUCCUAUGGCAGAAGAGUUUUGUUCUGCACCUUCACUUUCAAAUGUAUCAUCUUUGCUCUAAUUUAUACCUACAAUAAAAUAAGAAGAUAUUGAAUAGAAGAGUGCUGAAAGAAUUCACAAAAGCAUCAUUGUUACAGCAUUUCACACCACACGAUAAUACAUAAAUAUUAAGCAAUUAUGACAGAGGUGGGAAGACCAUGGAUUAAAAUAAAAAACCUAUGUAGAAACAAGGUCUUCUUCUGAGGACCGAAGUCUGGGAUAACAUUAUAAAUUAGACAGAAACAAUACCAAUCCAAAACCAGUCAAUAAUGAUAGGGAUUUUUUUAUGAUAAAACAGUGACUUAUCCCUACAUGGGCAACUAAAGAUGCCAUGAUGUAUAAGUACUUCUUAAAAAAUACUGCAACAUCAUUUAAAAAA